AACUUUCAACAACGGAUCUCUUGGCUCUCGCAUCGAUGAAGAACGCAGCGAAAUGCGAUAAGUAAUGUGAAUUGCAGAUUUUCAGUGAAUCAUCGAAUCUUUGAACGCACCUUGCGCUCCUUGGUAUUCCGAGGAGCAUGCCUGUUUGAGUGUCAUCA
rnacentral:rRNA from 1 species